rnacentral:misc_RNA from 1 species
UUUCCGUAGGUGAACCUGCGGAAGGAUCAUUACAGUGUUCCCUGCCCUUCGGGGUAGGAUCGCCACCCUUGAUUAUUUAUGAGUGUUGCUUUGGCGGGCCUCGCGGCCUGGCCGUGCCCCGGCUUCGGCGGGGGAGCGCCCGCCAGAGGAUUCUACAAACCUGAUUAUUAGUGUCGUCUGAGUACUAUAUAAUAGUUAAAACUUUCAACAACGGAUCUCUUGGUUCUG